ACAUGGGAACUGAGGAGAGGAAAAGCCAUGUUCUUGCUCCUGGACUCACAAGUCGUCCCAUCCUUCUGUGAUGUCAUCAUGUGAGCCACAGCUCACAAAUCUGAAUGCUAACAACCCAGCAACCAGUCCUCACCUCCCACACGCUUUUCAUCACCCACUUGCAUCCAACAUCUGGGGCUUCUGCUUCUACCCUACCAUCUCAUGAGCUCGCCACUAAGGUUCCAUGUCCAACAUUACUCAGACAGGCAAUAUCUGCAGGAGUAAACCUCAGUCCUCGUCAGUGUGGAGCAAGUGAUCCGAAAGGUGAUCCACGGUCACGCAGUGAGAGGAGCCCUUGAGAAAUUUUAUAACUUCACCUGGAAGACUUCAGAAGCGCAAGAAGGGCCCUCGCUCGCCAGGAGAUUAACCCGUCAGGCCGCCGAGUGAGAAGGGACAGAGCAGACCCGGACAGGAGGCCUGGGAUGCAGGGGAAAUCCAAACACAUCCACCUGCUCAGGGAAGACUCUCCAGACACCUCGUCCCCCUACGGCCAUCUGGGGCAAGCGCUGUCGCAGCCACUGUUGUGGCACCUGGUCAUUUACGACUGCCUCAUGACAUUAUUUCUCACUGUUGUCUUUGCAUUGUUGUUUAAUGACUUUCUGUAAUUGUCUCUUCUGACCCCAAAUAAACCUCAGCAC